AUGUCCGAAACGCACAACACAGUUCAGGGUUCUUCCAGCCCCUCCAAGCCCUCACCUGUGCCCAAAUUCCUGGGUGCUGUUCCUGCUAUCAGGGAUCUGACGUGGCAGGAAGGACAGGAUGGCCUGGGCAGCGGGAGAUUGGCCCGGCUGGAGCUGAGCAAUGCUGGGGCUGCUAUAAAAGCCCUGCCUGGGCCAGAGCGGGCCAAGCACUGCCCUGGCCACCUUCUCCUCCUCGGGGACAAGGCUGCCCUCUCUUGCAGAGCACCCUCACAUCCCACGCCAAGAUGUCCUGCUACGACCUGUGCCCCCCCAGGACCAGCGCGGACCUGUGCCCGCCCAGGACCAGCGUGGCUGUGCCCCAGCCCAUCGCUGAGAGCUGCAACGAGCUGUGCGCCCGCCAGUGCCCCGACUCUUCGGCUUUCAUCCAGCCUCCACCCGUGGUGGUCACCUUCCCCGGGCCCAUCCUCAGCUCCUUCCCCCAGCAAGCCGUGGUGGGCUCCUCCGGAGCACCGGCCUUUGGCGGCUCCCUGGGGCUGGGCGGCCUCUACGGCGCCGGCGCCACCCAGGCCUCGGGCGGCCUCUGCACCUUUGGCAGAGCCUACGCUGCUCCCGCCUGCAGCCCUUGCGCCUUGCCGCGCUACAGCAAGAAGCUCUGGGACACCUGCGGGCCCUGCUAGA